AGUGAACGCUGGCGGUAGGCCUAACACAUGCAAGUCGAACGGCAGCACAGUAAGAGCUUGCUCUUACGGGUGGCGAGUGGCGGACGGGUGAGGAAUACAUCGGAAUCUACUUUUUCGUGGGGGAUAACGUAGGGAAACUUACGCUAAUACCGCAUAUGACCUACGGGUGAAAGCAGGGGAUCUUCGGACCUUGCGCGAUUGAAUGAGCCGAUGUCGGAUUAGCUAGUUGGCGGGGUAAAGGCCCACCAAGGCGACGAUCCGUAGCUGGACUGAGAGGAUGAUCAGCCACACUGGAACUGAGACACGGUCCAGACUCCUACGGGAGGCAGCAGUGGGGAAUAUUGGACAAUGGGCGAAAGCCUGAUCCAGCCAUACCGCGUGGGUGAAGAAGGCCUUCGGGUUGUAAAGCCCUUUUGUUGGGAAAGAACAGCAGCAGGUUAAUACGCCGCUGUUCUGACGGUACCCAAAGAAUAAGCACCGGCUAACUUCGUG
rnacentral:rRNA from 1 species